rnacentral:rRNA from 1 species
AAACUCACCAGGUCAGGACACGGUAAGGAUUGACGGACUGAAGGCUCUUUCUCGAUUCCGUGGAAAGUGGUGCAUGGCCGUUUUUGGUUGGUGGAUCGAUCCGUCUGGUUAAUUCCGUUAACGAACGAGACCUCGGCACUCCGAAUAGCGCGGCGGACGUCGCGGCCUCCGGGCCGUCUUCCGCACGAGCUUCUUAGAGGGACCGUCCCCCGCCGGGGAAGGAGGUGCGAGGCAACGACAGGUCUGUGAUGCCCUUAGAUGUUCUGGGCCGCACGCGCAUUACACUGACGCGUCCAACGGGUGACUCCCGACCCGAAGGGGCCGGGGAAUCCGCAAGGCGCGUCGUGAUGGGGAUUGAACGUUGCAAUUGUUGUUCACGAACGAGGAAUUCCUAGUAGGCGCGGGUCAUCAACCCGCGCCGAUUACGUCCCUGCCCUUUGUACACAC